ACACACUUAAGGACACUUUUUAAAAAUGCACUUUUUAAUAAUAUCUAAUUAAUUUGAACUUAUAGUAAGUACACUUUCAUUAUAAUAUUUAUAAACACAAUUAAGUGCACUUUUAAAAUGCACUUUGUAAUAAUAUCUAAUUAAUUUGAACUUACAGUAAGUACACUUUCAUCAUAAUAUUUCACUAACACACUUAAGGACACUUUUUAAAAAUGCACUUUGUAAUAAUAUCUAAUUAAUUUGAACUUAUAGUAAGUACACUUUCAUCACAAUAUUUCACUAACACACUUAAGGACACUUUUUAAAAAUGCACUUUGUAAUAAUAUCUAAUUAAUUUGAACUUAUAGUAAGUACACUUUCAUCACAAUAUUUCACUAACACACUUAAGGACACUUUUUAAAAAUGCACUUUGUAAUAAUAUCUAAAUAAUUUUAAAUUAUAGUAAGUACACUUUCAUCAUAAUAUUUAUAAACACACUUAAGUGCACUUUUAAAAAUGCACUUUGUAUUAAUGUCUAAUUAAGCUUAACUUAAAGAAAGUACACUUUCAACAUAAUAUUUAUAAACACACUUAAGUGCACUUUUAAAAAUGCACUUUUUAAUACUGUCUAAUUAAGCUUAACUUAUAGUAAGUACACUUUCAUCACAAUAUUUCUUAACAUACUUAAGUACACUUUUUAAAAAUGCACUUUGUCUAAUUUAGUUUUACUUAAAUGUAACCCUGGUUAAAUAAUUAAAUAUUAUUAUUUUAAAAGUGUGCUUAAAAAUAAUAGAGACUAUUCAUACAUCUACAUUUAUUUUAUAAAUGAGGAAAUACAUGUGAAUAAUUCAAUCUGAAUUAUAAAUCUGAAAUGAGUAAACCAAUCGGAGUGUUUAAUUGUAAGCUCCGCCCCUUUUUUGCUUUCGGAUCGCGUCUCAGUUCAGAGGAGAGAUGCAGAACGACAGAGACACUCUAUCUAACGCGAGAGUGUUUAAUUUUAUUAAAUAUGACUCCUAAGUUCAUAUAAACUGAAGAAAUCAGAAUUUAACUUGCAUAUAUUCAAUGAUACAGCGUGAUUGUGUGGAUUGAGCACUUUUUGAGCUUUCAUUUUGACCUGUGUGAUAAUGUAAAACCACAUGGUGCGUUGUGUUCACUGCUGUUCGCUGACGCCAUUUUGGUUGCACGUGCCUGUGAAAGACAAAAAGAGAGAGAAACACGUGAAUGGACAGGUAUUUGUCUAAAUUGUCAUUUAUUAUGAUGAUGGCACUUAUGUAUGUAUUUUAUUUGUUUCCUGUAUUGUGUACAAUUGUUCAUCAUUAUUGAUACACAAUAUUGAAUGUUUUUUCCUUUCGUAUGAACAUUCCUUGAGCUGGAUUUUCCUAAUUGAUGGCGAGCCUCCCAUUUCAACCUGAUUGGAUCACGAAUCUAGAGGAAAGGACAAAUUUCUAUUUUAAAUAUUUUUCUUCAGACAAGUAAGAGGAUACAUUUCAGAAACGGUUUCCUUAUUUUGUUUGUUUACUUCAUUGAACUGAAACAUUUCAAAAGCACAAAUCUGAUAAUUUAAGACUGAUCAAUACUCCAAUUGAUAAGAACUUUGAACUUGAAUACUGAUUUCAGUGUGUUACGUAUAUAAUUUGUACCAUCUUUGUACAUUGAUUGUGACUGUGAUUUCUGAAAAUGAGAACUAAUUUAGAGGGUGCACCCAUAGUAUAUUAGCCUGACUACGUCAGACUUCGUACUUCCGCUAAAUUUCAUUACGCUUCUGUACUCAGUCUGAGAUACCUCCCAUUCAAACCGUUUUCCACCGGUCUCAAAACGACCGUCCAGUCAACGAACAGAGGGCGGGCUGAGAGCCAUGACGUAGACGCUAAACGCCGAAUCACGGUUGUAGUCUGUUGUGGACAUGAAGACACAAGGCUUGUUCGACUUCACGUGGCGCUGCAAGAACCGACAGCCGGAUGACGUCAAAGUAACGCGAGAACGAUUCGAGAAAUCAUACGAAGUGUAAUUUCAUCUCGCUCUCGCGGCACUUUAACGUCAUCCGUCUGUCAGUUCUAGCGGCGCCGCAUGAAGUCGAACAAGCCUACAGAAAGCUCUGUUGUGGAGAACCGGCACUUGCCAACUUAAACCCGAACAAGAAAAGUGUUUGUUAAACAUUUGAAUGGAGAUUAUGUUGUUGCCCUGCUCCCGACAAGUUUUUGGAAAAGUUUAAUUUAUCAACUUUACCGAUCGUCAGCGAGAAACUGUGUGCAGCACAGCUUGACGUGCACAACGAUCGAGAAAUCAUGGAAGGGAAUUAUAUUGUUCACAGUUAAUGUUGGAGGACGCGUGGGCAAGCAUUAUUUGGUGACAUUCCUGAUUAACCAGAAAAUAAGGUAGGGAGAUUUAAUUUACAUAUGGUUAUUGUUGUCUGGUGGAAGAGUUUGAGAGGAGAGAGGGGCUUUCCUCCCGUUAGACGUGAGUGGAAAGCCACCGUAAGGAUAGUGUUCAACUAGCUCUGGCCCGAUUUACUUUACAUAAUCUGCAAAAGUCGUUCAUAGCCAUGUUAACUCUGGUAUUUCGCUCGAUGGGUUUGUUUUCACAUCAUACGUGUAUUUUACAGCAGAGAUUCGAUGCGGCUGAUCCGGCGCAUAAAGCACAUCAUAUCCAAAUGUUAUGUGUGAUUGGCUUACGUUUAGACCAAUGAUUUUAAACUUCAGACAAGCCCCUCCCACGAGAAGGAAAACGAUUGUCAAUUAUGCCCAGCCAGACUCUGUCUAUGAAGCGAAGCAAAAUAGCAGAGGAUGGUAUUACCAGGCUAAUAGUAUAUAUCCCCCUUCUUCAAAUCUUACCCUGGAGGUCCAAAGCACUACAGAGUUUAGCUCCAACCCUGAUCAAACACACCUGAGCAAGCUAAUCAAGGUCUUCAUGAUCACUAGGAAAUCACAGGUGGGUAAGUUUGAUUAGGGUUGGAGCUAAACUCUGUAGUGCUCUGGACCUCCAGGGUAAGAUUUGAGGAACCCUGGUAUAUAUAGUUAAUUGUAUUUUCAUUGUUGUUUACUAUUUUUUUGUGAUUAAGGAAAGAAAAAGAAAGGUUUCUCAAUACUCAAAGUAAAAUAAUUUAUUAAUCAACUUACCUUCUGUCUCUGCUUGUUGCUCACUAUCACUGCUACCUCCUCCUUCGUACCGUGCACCCUUCUGAUCUUAUUAUUAUGCCUGGUCCAUAAGUAAGUGAGUUAAUAUCCGCUACAUAAAGAAAGUACACUUUCAUGGCAAUAUUUCUAAACGCAUUUAAUAAAUGAUCAUUAGACUGAUGUGACCUACCAAAGACUUGUUAAUUUAAAGUUCAUGCAGUUCUUUUUUAGUUGUCUGUUAAAAUGUUAAAAAAUAAUAACUUUGAGUUUAUUUUUUUCUAAGGGAUGUAAUUAUUCAAUAUUGAUAGUUGUUUGAUUCCAAUUUAACAAUAUUAAAAUGAGUUUUUUUGUUUGGACAUAUACAACUCAUAAUUAAUUUAUUAAAUGUACUUUUGCAAAACAAAAAAUCUGACUACCAAACUGUUUUAUUGUCAGUGUAAGCAUUGUGGUUUUUGUUUGUUUGCAAUGCAUUAAACUGAAAUGAAUACA